GGAAAAGCUUCAUACCUUAAGAUUGCUCCCAGCAAUGAAGUACUGUGGCUAGAUUGUGACUUUCUCUUCUCCAGAAAGAGUAUCUUAUACUGUAGUCACUGGAAUACAUGCCCUGCCGCUAGGAGACAAGGACAGUGUGGUAAGCACAUCAAACAAACUUUGUUUCUGCUGAAGAGGUAGUUCUUGGUUUGUUGGCCUGAAGUAAGAGAAGCUUUUCAGUAGUAGUCUGAGACUGCAGUUUUCAUGAGAAAGGAGCAAGUCAAAGGAGAAGCCCAGAGCUGUGAUGUCAAGACCCCCUUCUUCAAAGCUCCCGGAGUCUCCUGCCAGUUACAGUCUGAGAAGGCAUCAGAAAACUAACAAGGCAGUAAAGAUCUUUAAGAAGGAGGAAAGCAGAGAAGUAAGAACAUGGAAGAAAUUUUGAUGUGGGAUUUCUGAGCAUAAGCCUCAAGAGUCUUUGGAACUUUGGCUGCCACUCUCUUGCUGCCUACAGACUGCCAUGUGAAGAAGCUGGGGCUACCUCCUUUAGGAUGCGAGACCAUAUGAAGAGAGAGACCCAAUAGCCAAUACCAACUAUUUAGACAUAUGACUAUUCAUUCCCAGUUGAGCAAUCAGGUGAUUGCAGCUGCAUAAGUCACACCAGGGGGAAGAAGCACCCAGCUAAAUCCAGCCCAAAUUGCAGACCCACAGAAUCAUGAGCAAACAAAUUGUUGUUUUA
rnacentral:lncRNA from 1 species